GCGCGCAAUGGGUCAGUGCACAUGGCUGUUAACCGAAAGGUUGGUGGUUCGAGCCCACCCAAGAACG